rnacentral:rRNA from 1 species
UUAGUGGCGCACGGGUGCGUAACGCGUGGGAAUCUGCCCCUUGGUUCGGAAUAACAGUUGGAAACGACUGCUAAUACCGGAUGACGACGUAAGUCCAAAGAUUUAUCGCCGAGGGAUGAGCCCGCGUAGGAUUAGGUAGUUGGUGUGGUAAUGGCGCACCAAGCCGACGAUCCUUAGCUGGUCUGAGAGGAUGAUCAGCCACACUGGGACUGAGACACGGCCCAGACUCCUACGGGAGGCAGCAGUGGGGAAUAUUGGACAAUGGGCGAAAGCCUGAUCCAGCAAUGCCGCGUGAGUGAUGAAGGCCUUAGGGUUGUAAAGCUCUUUUACCCGGGAUGAUAAUGACAGUACCGGGAGAAUAAGCUCCGGCUAACUCCGUGCCAGCAGCCGCGGUAAUACGGAGGGAGCUAGCGUUAUUCGGAAUUACUGGGCGUAAAGCGCACGUAGGCGGCUUUGUAAGUAAGAGGUGAAAGCCCAGAGCUCAACUCUGGAAUUGCCUUUUAGACUGCAUCGCUUGAAUCAUGGAGAGGUCAGUGGAAUUCCGAGUGUAGAGGUGAAAUUCGUAGAUAUUCGGAAGA